ACCAUGGUUCUACUUCCCCUCUGAAACACACUGCAGGCAGGGCAUGGUGCAAGUAACUGUUUCCCAGUCUCAAACCCUAGCCUAACCCAGCACUGAAGGAUAUACCGCUCUCCUACUAUGUUGGUUUAGCAGCAUUUCUUUGUCUGUGGAAGUGAACUUACCUAUAAUUCCAGGGAUAUCAUAUUACACUAAUUAACUGUCCUUAGCACAACUAACAAAGGCCAUUCUUGUGUGUGUGUGCACGUGGGAGCAUGCAUUUCAAGGACAUGAGUUUGUCUUGUUUGUUUACCCAUAGGCCUGUGCGUUUUAUGCAUACAUGUGAAGGACUUGUGUUUGUGUAGCCUUGUUUAUCUGUGAGGUUUUGUGUAUUUUUCCCUGUUGUAAGGGUUUCCUGACCUCAGUGCUGGUCAUGGGUGGGCUGUUCUUCCUCUGCUGCCUUGUCCUUUUCCUGGGGGUGAAAGAGCAGCGGAGUGAGUCAACGGUCAGAACAAUGGAAUUAGGGUUAGAGUGUGGUCAGUUUAGAACUGCUAGAGCAAAGCACAUGGGAGGUCAAGGUUCAGUAGAACGUGUUCAAGAAUCUAGAGCUGGGAGGUGGCUAAAUAAUGGAUAGGCUUGGAACUAAAGUAACUUAGUCACGAUGUCUUUGGGGAACUUUGCACUGUUCUGUACCUAUGCAGCUGGGCUUGGGUCCCAGUUCCAGCCCCUUCUGUCUCUGCUGGUAGGGCUGGUCUUCUUCCACCUGUACCCCAUCAACAAGGAACAACGCCUCCAGCUCCAGAGAGAGCAAGGCAGAGAAGGAGAUAGGAUCAACACGCAGUCGUCAGUCAAGACGCCAACCACCUUUUUAUUUAAUUUAGCCUUUACUUAUCUAGGCAAGUCAGUUAAGAACAAAUUCUUAUUUACAAUGCCGGCCAA